GGGGAGACAAACUGCAUCCCAAUCAUGACAGCCAUGUUGUUUAGAUAUUUUCAAUACUGUAAAUUUUGUUUAGCACUGUUAUGGGCUGAAUCCUCUCUCUCUGUUGAAGUUCUAGCCUGCAGCACUUCAGAAUGUGGCUGCAUCUAGAGGUAGGGUCUUUAGGGAGGCCGCUAGCCAUAAUGCUAAGUAAAAUAAAUCAGACACGGGAUGUUAAAUAUCACACAGUUUCUCUUAUAUGGGAAACCCAAUGUAUAAAUCAUCUAUAAAGCCAAAGGAAUGAGAAGUGGCAGGAAACAGCACUCUUAGUCAUUAGAAGAAGUAAAAUGUUGGAUAUUACCAUUCCUGGAACUACAAAGAUGUGCAAAAAUGUAAAAGUAAAUAUAAAAUAAAGUAAGGUGAUUUAGGUGUACCCUGAUCCUCCCUGCAUGGAGAGAGGAUCAGCAUACCUGCACACAGAGCAGAGACCAUGUGAAGACACACAGAGGACAUGGGCUCUACAAGUCACAGAGGUCACAUCCUAUUUACCAGCCGGUCUGCCCAUGCCCUGAUCGCCUGCCUUGUGGAGGAUGUGAACUGCAGAAGGAAGAUGUGGGAUGAGGAACCAGAUUUGCCACACAGGUCUUUGGAGCCAGGGCCAUAUCCUCUUGAAGUUCUCUCCUCUAGAAAAUUCUGAGCAUUAAUAAAAAUGUCCUACAAUGGAGGAAUGUUGCACAUUCGUCCUUGC